rnacentral:rRNA from 1 species
AACGAACGCUGGCGGCAUGCCUAACACAUGCAAGUCGAACGAGACCUUCGGGUCUAGUGGCGCACGGGUGCGUAACGCGUGGGAACCUGCCCUUAGGUUCGGAAUAACUCCCCGAAAGGGGUGCUAAUACCGGAUAAUGUCUUCGGACCAAAGAUUUAUCGCCUUUGGAUGGGCCCGCGUUGGAUUAGCUAGUUGGUAGGGUAAAAGCCUACCAAGGCGACGAUCCAUAGCUGGUCUGAGAGGAUGAUCAGCCACACUGGGACUGAGACACGGCCCAGACUCCUACGGGAGGCAGCAGUGGGGAAUAUUGGACAAUGGGCGAAAGCCUGAUCCAGCAAUGCCGCGUGAGUGAUGAAGGCCUUAGGGUGGUAAAGCUCUUUUACCCGGGAUGAUAAGGACAGGACCGGGAGAAUAAGCUCCGGCGAACUCCGG